CCUACGGGAGGCUGCAGUGAGGAAUAUUGGUCAAUGGCCGGAAGGCUGAACCAGCCAUGCCGCGUGAAGGUCAGUGCCCUAUGGGCGUUAAACUUCUUUUGUGCGGGAGCAAUAAUGGUCACGUGUGGCCAGACGAGAGUACCGUACGAAUAAGCAUCGGCUAACUCCGUGCCAGCAGCCGCGGUAAUACGGGGGAUGCAAGCGUUAUCCGGAUGUAUUGGGUUUAAAGGGUGCGUAGGCUGUGAGGUAAGUCAGCGGUGAAAUGCCCCCGCUCAACGGGGUGAAGUGCCAUUGAUACUGCCUUGCUUGAAUGCGGAUGCCGUGGGAGGAAUGUGUGGUGUAGCGGUGAAAUGCAUAGAUAUCACACAGAACACCGAUUGCGAAGGCAUCUCACGGAUCCGCGAUUGACGCUGAUGCACGAAAGCGUGGGUAUCAAACAGGAUUAGAUACCCUGGUAGUC
rnacentral:rRNA from 1 species